UAGGGAAUUUUGCGCAAUGGGCGAAAGCCUGACGCAGCAACGCCGCGUGAUUGAAGAAGCCCUUCGGGGUGUAAAGAUCUGUCAGUGGGGACGAAACUUGACGGUACCCACAGAGGAAGCAUCGGCUAACUCCGUGCCAGCAGCCGCGGUAAUACGGGGGAUGCAAGCGUUGUCCGGAAUCAUUGGGCGUAAAGAGUUCGUAGGUGGCCUGUUAAGUCUGGUGUUAAAUGCAGAGGCUCAACUUCUGUUCGGCACUGGAUACUGGCAAGCUAGAAUGCGGUAGAGGUAAAGGGAAUUCCUGGUGUAGCGGUGAAAUGCGUAGAUAUCAGGAGGAACAUCGGUGGCGAAAGCGCUUUACUGGGCCGUAAUUGACACUGAGGAACGAAAGCCAGGGUAGCAAAUGGG
rnacentral:rRNA from 2 species